CACUGCAAAGUCACCGACUCAGGAGUUAUGAUGGGGAACCGUCUCGCUCCGCUCCUCAUCAUUAUCUCACUUCUCAAAUGGAGCCACCCAGACACAGUGGAACGACCGGUUGCUGAAAUAACGGCGGAAGAAGAAAGAAAUGCCACCCUAACUUGCACCUUGAAAACAAGCGAUUCUAACCCUUAUGUGUACUGGUACAGUCAGCGCCCUGGGCAGCCUCCACAGUACAUGCUUCGUAUCCUGGGAGGGGAGGUAUACAGACACACCGACAUCACCGACCGCUUUUCAGCUACGUUGAAUAAAACAGCUAAGAUUACCGAGCUAAUGAUCUGCAACGUCCUGAUCUCUGACAGCGCAGUAUAUUUCUGUGCCACGCAACCCACACUGCUGCAGAUAUAUAGCGGAUCCACUGUUGUUUGUAACUCGGAGACAUUUCGGAUCUCGGUGUAUGGGGGAAGUGCAGGACGAACUAUUUCACUUCAUAAUUCCGCUAGUUUCGCUACCAGUGAUCUUGGAUUCUGUUACCGGCAAUUCUCCAAUCGAGCUCCCUAG